GCUGUUACUGCACAAAACACUGUUGGAGUCCAGGUUCAUUUUCAUAUAACAGUCUUGAAUGAAUUUAAUAGAGAUAGAGUCCAAUUAAGUUUAUGUAUUAUGUUAUACUAAGUCACUAUCAUAUAUGAUCUCAACAACCUGAUAGCUGAUUCUGUUAUGAAGUUGAGGGUCAAGUCACCACACUAACUAAUCUUAAUUAGACUCUAUCUCUAUUAGGGUGUUAAUCUUAAUUUUUUUUAUUUUGGUCAAAACAAAGCAUCAAGUUCUCUAGGUUGAAAAUGAACUUUUACCUACUUUUAUUUUCAUGGAUAGUCAAUUAUAAUUCUGAUUUUAAUAGUAAUGCUAAUGAUUACUUGAGCUUUGCAUUCCUUUUGGUGGUUGUCUUCUCAUUUCUCAUAUAUGUGAUGAUUGCCAGGGAGUGGAGAUAUUGCCUGAUGAUGUUGUGGCUGAGCAAUUGAAGUCUGUGCUCUCUGGACAUGGUAAGUUGAAAUAGGAAUCCGCAUCUCAUGAAAUAAUAUCUAAAUACAAGUGCAAGUUAUUAAUGUGAGGAACUGAAACGUGCUCAAUUUUUAAGUAGAGAUGAUGGCCCUGCAUUGUGACUGCAGAAUAGACAAGAAAGUGAAAAAAGGGCACUACAGGAUUAAGCACAUGUUCUGAGUUGCUUGUUCAUGCUCAUGUCUUUUCAAGAGAGGAUCCUUUUUA